UGGUGGAGUGAUUUGUCUGAUUAAUUCCGAUAACGAACGAGACUCUAGCCUACUAACUAGUGUGCAGAUCCUCUCUGUGUCUGCCGCACUUCUUAGAGGGACAAGCGGCGCUUAGCCGCACGAAAUUGAGCAAUAACA
rnacentral:rRNA from 1 species